rnacentral:rRNA from 1 species
CACGCCCUAAACGAUGUCGACUGGGUGUUGGGGAAGCGAUUCCCCAGUACCGUAGCUAACGCGUGAAGUCGACCGCCUGGGGAGUACGGCCGCAAGGUUAAAACUCAAAGGAAUUGACGGGGACCCGCACAAGCGGUGGAUGAUGUGGAUUAAUUCGAUGCAACGCGAACAACCUUACCUACCCUUGACAUGUCCGAGAGCCCGCUGAGAGGUGGGUGUGCCCGAAAGGGAAUCGGAACACAGGUGC